CACGUAGGGCGCAAGCGUUGUCCGGAAUUAUUGGGCGUAAAGAGCUCGUAGGCGGUCUGUUGCGUCCGCUGUGAAAACCCAGGGCUUAACCCUGGGCUGGCAGUGGAUACGGACAGACUAGAGGUAGGUAGGGGAGAAUGGAAUUCCCGGUGUAGCGGUGAAAUGCGCAGAUAUCGGGAGGAACACCGGUGGCGAAGGCGGGUCUCUGGGACGGUACUGACGCUGAGACGCGAAAGCGUGGGGAGCGAACAGG
rnacentral:rRNA from 1 species